CCUACGGGAGGCAGCAGUGAGGAAUAUUGGUCAAUGGGCUUACGCCUGAACCAGCCAAGUCGCGUGAGGGAAGACUGCCCUAUGGGUUGUAAACCUCUUUUGUCAGGGAGCAACGCCGGCUACGUGUAGCCGUACUGAGAGUACCUGAAGAAAAAGCAUCGGCUAACUCCGUGCCAGCAGCCGCGGUAAUACGGAGGAUGCGAGCGUUAUCCGGAUUUAUUGGGUUUAAAGGGUGCGUAGGCGGAAUGCCAAGUCAGCGGUAAAAUCGCGGGGCUCAACCUCGCUCCGCCGUUGAAACUGGCGUUCUUGAGUGGGCGAGAGGUAUGCGGAAUGCGUGGUGUAGCGGUGAAAUGCAUAGAUAUCACGAAGAACUCCGAUUGCGAAGGCAGCAUACCGGCGCCCAACUGACGCUGAAGCACGAAAGCGUGGGUAUCGAACAGGAUUAGAUACCCGAGUAGUC
rnacentral:rRNA from 1 species